UACACCACUAAGCUCUUUUAAUAGCUUUGGGUGUAUUCCAUCAGGUCCCUUUGACUUAUUUGUCUUUACUUUUGACGGUCUACAGGGGUGCGGGGUAGCAGGACUGUUUAUCAAAAGGGGAGACAGUCGGUCUCCCCCUCCAGCAGGGUCCAGGGAGAGGGAGAGGAGCCUACUACCCCCUCUUCACAGCUGGGCUCCAACGAGACUACUCCAGCUGAAGCGCUGUCAUCAGGGCAGAGUACCGGUGGUCUCUGCCCACUCAGCAACCCAUAGAUCCGGAGUACCCAUACCCCACAAAGCCGUGAUGGAGCCCCU